GACGCGAGCCAUAAAGAGAAUGGUUACCUGAAGUGAGACGAUGAAAAUGAGCAUCCAUAGAAAUGAAAAAGGUUGAAGAUGAAGAGAGGUGAAGGAGCUGUUUGUUUUUUUAGGAGAGUAUAUAGCGGUGCUGCUGGAGUUUGGAGGCAUUAAGACAGUACCAAGCUCACAUUCGCAGCCUCAACGCCUACAAUCGCCACAAGAAAUUCUUGAACGAUUAUGGUAAAGUUUCCUUAAUCGAGUUUCUUAUUACAGUUACUGCUUUGUUUUUUUUUUUUAGGUUAGAAAAUAUUUGCAUUUCCUUAAUCUAUGUUACUCGUCAAAAAUACUUGCUGUGCUACUUUAUUGCUUAGUUAAUUGGAAAUGGACUUGAAAGGAAUUAUGCAAAUAGUGAGUGUUGUAUUUGUUAUAGGGCUGCUCAGCCUGUUGAAGAGCAUUCUCCAUUACAAGUACGUAAAGCAGGCAAAAAGUUUGAUGCAGAG
rnacentral:lncRNA from 1 species